CGGGAUAGCUCAGUUG
rnacentral:tRNA from 13 species